GUGUGUGUGUGUGUGUGUGUGUGUGUGUGUGUGUAUGUGUGUGUGUUUGUGUGGAACCCAUUGGAGUGGGAUGUUCAUAUUGCACAAAAGAGCAGGGUCACACAGGAGCCUCUUCAGUGCGACAGGCUGCCGCUGUUUGUUCAGGCUGCUGAAGGGCUUCACAUGCUGACUGACUGUCUGACUGUCUGUGGGUGCUGAGCUGCUGAUGAAGGGAGGUUGUUGACUUGUUGUUGAAGCUCCGGCAAGCAGCAGAAAUGAUCAUCAGGCUGGGCAGACUGACACCAGGAUACUUCCGUCUCCUGCAGCGUCAGGUCUCAGGUGAGGUCCGGAUGCAGCCACAGAGCAGUCUCAUUGAUCCCAUCGCGAUGACGAUGGCCACACUGGGGAUGGGAGUGUCUCUGUACAGCGCUAGGCAGAUGGCCGACAGGGUCCAUCUGAAGCACCACCACCACCACGGCUGAGCUCAGGGAGAAUCACUCGGCCUGUCAGAGCGGCUCAGUGUGUGGUUUGAAUGUUUGUGUACGUCUCAGAGGGUUUGUGAUGGGGGUCAGAGAGAGUGUCUGUGUUUGUGGUGUUGAUAGAAGGAAAAUCUAAGUGUGCCAGGAGGAAAAAGUGAAGCACUGAUCAGGAAGAUUUGUCAAUAAGUAAAAAAAAAUGUCACUUUUUGUACAGUCAUGGCAUUUACGAGCAAAUAUCAGUGAGGCCGUAGUUUGAUAGGUCAGAAUAUUUGAUCAACAUUUCUAUUCAAAUCAAUAAAUGAACAUAUCAGGGUCCCUGCUUUAAAGUUAAGCAUGCAGUCUGUAUUGAUCCUGUGUGAGGAAGUCCAGAAAUCUUAUGAAAUGAUUGCGUAGGAAAUUUUAUCUAAAAACAAGCUUGUAUUUGUUGAUUAGUCACGAGCUAGCACUUUUCCUUCAGAAUAUUUCAUUCAUUCAUUCAUAGUUUAGCACCUUCAUCUUUUAAAUUUAGAUUGUUAAUCACAAAGCAGCUUCACGCUUUGAGUAUUUACUAUGAAAAAAGCAUGAUAGCUUCAAAAAGGUACUUUUAUCAAAGUCAGGUUUUUACUGGGAGUAAAUACAAUAUGUCUAUAAAUGUACAGAG